rnacentral:tRNA from 1 species
GGGAGAUGGCUCAAUAGUUAAAAGCACUGGAUNNUNUUCCAGAGGACCUGGGUUUGAUUCCCAGCACCCA